AACGUAGGAGGCAAGCGUUAUCCGGAGUAACUGGGCGUAAAGGGCGCGUAGGUGGUUGCGUAAGUUGGUUAUGAAAGCUCCUGGCUAAACUGGGAGAGGUUGACCAAGACUGCGCGACUUGAGUGGAGAAGAGGUAAACGGAAUUCCGCGUGUAGUGGUGAAAUGCGUAGAGAUGCGGAAGAACACCAGUGGCGAAGGCGGUUUACUGGUCUCCAACUGACACUGAACCGCGAAAGCAUGGGUAGCGAACGGG
rnacentral:rRNA from 1 species